CCUGGUGGCUCAGACGGUAAAGCAUCUGUCUACAAUGCAGGAGACCCGGGUUCGAUCCCCGGGCCGGGA
rnacentral:tRNA from 1 species